GCCUAUCCGCGGGUGGAUGCCUACUGAGAGCGGCCUAUCCGCGGGUGGACUAAUUUCAGAGGCCUAUCCGCGGGUGGAGGCCUACUGAGGGCGGCCUAUCCGUUGGUGUAUUAGUUUCGGAGGCCUAUCUAUCCGCAGAUGCUACGUUACUCAUCCCACUUUCUCUUCCACUGACUGUAGUUUGAGAUUUUUUUUUCUUUGUUUUCUUGUUUUCUUUGAUUGUGUCAACCUAUUCACACUUUUCUUUCUCUCUCUCUCUCUCUCUCUCUCUCUCUCUCUCUCUCUCUC